GUGGUAUAUAUACAUAAUGAAGUGUUAUUCAACCAUAAAGAAAACAUAAAAUUAUGUCAUUUGCAUGAAAAUGGAUGGAAUUGGAGAUAAUUGUGUUAGACAAAAUAAGUCAAACUCAGAAAAUCAAGGGUUUUAUGUUUUCUCUCAUAUGUGAAAGCUAGAGAGGAAAAGGAAAGACUGGUGUGAAUCUCAUGAAAAUCAGUGGGAGAUCAGGAGAGGGAAGGAACCAAAGGAUCAGAGGAGAAAAGGGUGGGAGAAAGUGCUGGGAAGUGAUAUUGGCCAACUUAUAUUGUCAUAUUGUGUCAUUGUGUACAUGUACGAAUAUGUCAUAUCAAAUGCUACCAGCUUGUAUACUAUAAUGCAUGAAUAAAGAAGUGACAAAAGAUAUAAAAAUAGGUUUUAAUAUUUAUUUUAAUUAAUAACUUAUAACAAAGAUUGUUUCUUGUGAGGCUUGGAUGGUGGUCUUCAUAUCAAAAGAGAGAAUUAACUGUUGUAGUUUGGGUAUGAGAGGUUCUCCAAAAGCUCACUUGAGAGACAAUGUGAGAUGGUUCAGAGGGGAAAUGAUUGGGCUGUGAGAUCCUUAAGCCAAUCAGUGAAAUAAUGACCUGAUGGGAUUCAUUGAGAAGCAAUUGAAGGCAGGUGGUGUGUAGUUGUAGGUAGCCUGGCUUUGGGGUAUAUAUUUUGUAUGUAGCAAGUGGAUUCUCUCUCUCUCUCUGUCUCUCUCUGUCUCUCUCUGUCUCUCUCUCUCUCUCUCUCUCUCUCUCUCUCUCUCUCUUCUGGUCAUGAUGUGAGCUGCUUCCCUCCAGCACACUCUUCCAACAGGAUGUUCUGCCUCACCUGGAGCACAGAAGAAAUGAGCCAGUGAAAAAGCUGACUUAAAAAAAUAACUAUUCCUCAGUUUUGGUCCACUUUGAUCAUCAAAAUGUUCUGUGAUGUUUUCUUUAAAGGACAGCCUUUGGACUACUAGUG
rnacentral:lncRNA from 1 species